GUGAGAUUUAACUUUGUCGUGCAACGCAUAUUUCUCACACGUCUGGGUCUAUCUGAUCCCUCUAAUUAUGCUGAAAAUUCUCAACUGUGCGGACCUCUAAUUCCAAAGAUGUGUGAUGAUCAACAUGAAACCGUGAUCUCAAGCAAUGCAGAAGAAAAGGAUGAGCCUAUAACAUGGGGAUUUUACAUCAGCAUGGCGCUUGGUUUUAUUAUUGGAUUUUGAGGAGUUUGUGGCAACCUGAUUUUCAUCAAGCCAUGGAGAUACUAGUACUUCAGCUUCUUGAAUGUCUUGAAUGAUUGGCCUUAUGUGAGGGUGAUUUCGAUUAAGCGGCACUUCAAUUAAGCUCGUUUCUGAGACAGCACAUAAGGUUCACUUCAUUGGAAGAGCUUCACGGGCCUUAUCUAUUUUAAGUUUUCAAGUAUUGAUCUGUCAUAAUAAAGAACUUUACUACUACAUCUCCUUGGCAGAUGAUUUGUUAGUGUCACUUGUUUGUAAGAAGUUUACUGCUACUUUUACUUUAUCAAUACCUUUUUGCAGUAUAUGUUUAGUAUCAUGAUAUUUACUAAAGAAAUUCAGUUAAUUCUGGACUGUAUAUGAUUGUUUUGUUCGUCGUAAAUUUUUGAACAAAGUGUUUUAACUUUUAAUUUUUAA